rnacentral:rRNA from 1 species
GAAAGAUUCAUCGGAAGAGGAUGGGCAUGCGGCGCAUUAGCUUGACGGCGGGGUAACGGCCCACCGUGGCGACGAUGCGCAGGGGUUCUGAGAGGAAGGUCCCCCACACUGGUACUGAGACACGGACCAGACUCCUACGGGAGGCAGCAGUGAGGAAUAUUGGUCAAUGGGAGAGAUCCUGAACCAGCCAAGCCGCGUGAGGGAAGACGGCCCUAUGGGUUGUAAACCUCUUUUGUCGGAGAACAAAACCCGGGACGUGUCCCGGACUGCGUGUAUCCGAAGAAAAAGCAUCGGCUAACUCCGUGCCAGCAGCCGCGGUAAUACGGAGGAUGCGAGCGUUAUCCGGAUUUAUUGGGUUUAAAGGGUGCGUAGGCGGUCUGUUAAGUCAGCGGUAAAAUUGCGGGGCUCAACCCCGUCGAGCCGUUGAAACUGGCAGACUUGAGUUGGCGAGAAGUACGCGGAAUGCGCGGUGUAGCGGUGAAAUGCAUAGAUAUCGCGCAGAACUCCGAUUGCGAAGGCAGCGUACCGGCGCCAGACUGACGCUGAGGCACGAAAGCGUGGGGAUCGAACAGGAUUAGAUACCCUGGUAGUCCACGCAGUAAACGAUGAAUGCUGGUUGUCCGGGUCGAAUGAGACCUGG